ensembl:lncRNA
CUCCGGUUUGCCUCUUGUGGCCAGGACGGGGUAUUGGCGGGGCUCUGCCCGGGGCAGGGCUCUUGAGGGGGAAGGGCCCAGGCCGGGGCCUGGAUGUGGGUCAGGGUCAGGCCUGGGGCUAGGCCCUGGCUUGGGGCUUGAGCUUGGGCCUGGGUCAGGGCCUGGACAUGGGCCUGGAUUUUGGCCUGAGGCCGGGCCUGGGCCUGGACUUCAACCCAGGUCUGGGCCUGGACGUGAGCCUCAGCCUGGGGCUGGAUGUGGAGCUGGUCCUGGACGUGGGCGUGCGCCUGGGCCUGGGUCUCAUCCUGGAUCUGGGCCUGGACAUGGAUCCAGGCCUGAGUCUGGUCAUGGAUGUGGGCCUGCGUCUGUGCCUGGACGUGGACAUAGGCCCGGGCUUUGGCCCAGGUGUGGGACUGGGUUUGGGCCUGGAUGUGGGCUUAGACCUGAACCUGAGCUGUGCCUUGGGCUGGGGUGUGAGCCUAGGGCUGGGCCCAGAUGCCCAGGGUCACCCCAAAAUCACUGCCCCCCUCACUCGGAGCCUCGCCAGGCCCCGCUGGGCAACAAGGAGCUCUUGGACCAGGCCGGCCCUACGCAGCGGCUCCAGGCCGCACCUGGACAGCCCCCGCGCGGCUCCCUCUGCCCCCGUUCCUGCCCCGGCAACCCCGGAAGGUGGCGCCGGACGACGAGGAGCCUCGGUGGCGAUGUAGCUGCUUCGCUCCGGAGAGAUGCGACAGGAGGAUGUGGCAGGAUAGGUUUCACCCCGCCGCCGCUGGUUUGGCCCGGAAAACCGUCGAGGCGGCUCUGUCUCAAAGAAGUCUGUCACCUCCUGGUUUCCUGGUGGCUGCCGGCGCGAGGCAACGCCGACCUUGGCUUCCUCGAGCCGGAAACCGAUGUCUCAGGGCCGUCGUCUUCCUCUGGCAGGGCCGGCGAGAAAACGGGGAGCCCUUCGGAGAGGCUGAGCACAGUGAGUCCCGGAGGCGCUGAGGCCUGGGGAGGGGGCGGAGGGGACGCCCCCACCGCUAAAUCCGGAGCUUCCUCGCGCUGAGAGGAGAAAACAGCGGUUGGAUGAGCCUCGCCUGAGAGCUACYGAGACGGCGUUGAGCGGAAAGCCGUGAUUUCUGCCCCGAUCCCAGGACUCCGGGAGCCUGAGGCUUUACAGGAGGAGAACGGAAAGGAUUUUCCCCCCGCCGCUCGAYGCCGGAGCAAAGGGGUGAGUCCAAUUCUCUCCUCCUCUGCGGCAGUCGGGGGGGGGGGAAAAACCGGCAUGCGGCAGCCCGGAUGGAGGGGAGCAUCGGGAAGGGGCGCUCGCUUUCCCAACCCCCACCGCCGGCGAAAAAGAAAAAGGGGGGGAAAACCGGGAGGGCGGAGCGGGCGCCCUAAGCGCGGUGGGUGCGCUGGUGGCGCAGGAGGUGGGCGGCGGCGGCGAAGGCCUUGCCGCAGCCGGCGCACUUGUGGGGCCGCUCGCCGGUGUGGGUGGUGCGGUGGCGGGCGAGGUGGGCGGCGCGGGCGAAGCUCUUGCCGCAGUCGCCGCAGGCGAAGGGCCGCUCGCCCGUGUGGGUGAGGCGGUGGCGGGUGAGGUGGGCGGCGCGGGUGAAGGCUUUGCCGCAGAGGCCGCAGGCGAAGGGCCGCUCGCCCGUGUGGGUGCCGCGGUGGCGGGUGAGGUGGGCGCUGCGGCGGAAGGCUUUGCCGCAGCAGCCGCAGCGGUAG